GAGAAAUCGGAUUAGGGAGAAGGGGGUUACGAGAGGGCGAAGUGGCUGGGAAAGGAGGUGGCGUGAGAUACAGCAGCCCCUGGGGAAGGAGGAGAUGGGGAUGUGGGUGGAGGCGAACUGGAGCAGAAAGCGCGAUGGAGCAAAGGUACAAAGGGGGUGGGAGCUAACCGGGUACAGUGCACCGCUGGAUGUAAGCAGGGGAAAGCGGUGCACGCCCCUAUCUUUAUUCACACCCAGGCACAUAACCCAUAACCGGAAAAGAGUCACAGCAGUACAAUUAUUAAAAGCAUCUGAGCUGAGCUCUGCCCUGACCUGACUGAGGGGUUCUGGAACGGCCGGUGCAGCAUCCCGGCUGCUAACGGCUGGAGAGCUCAGGCCUUGGGGAGAGGGCUCAGGUUCUUCUUGACUCAACUUUUCUCCGUUGGAAGCUGAUGACAGUACAGGGCCCCACCACUUAGAUCCAACACAAAGUGUAGGAGACAGCGAAUAAAAUACCACCCAACCACAAUCCAAACUCGGGUCAGAGAGAAAGAAAAGUCAAAUUUGCACAUAGCCACGUACCUUACCGAUGUUUGUCUGGAAGCGGAUUAACCUACUGAAAAGACAACAGCAACGCGGCUCUUUAUCUCCGUUUACCUAAACUACUAUUACCCAUCACAGACUCUUAACUGGAGCAUCAUUCCUCAGCUGCACAGGAUUGGACUCCAACCAAAUGGCUUUCAUGCAGUGUCCAGUUUUUGCCAGACACUAGGCACAGAAACCGUUGAGGAAUGUGGUCUAUAGGAAGAGACCACUGGAGAGGUAGAGGAGGAAAUGCAGCUGGCUGGUGUUGAGAAUGAGCAACAUGGAAAGCAACACUCUGCUAUGUGUCCUACUCCUAGGCAGAUGAGACAUUGGGAGUGGCCAUCAUUAACGGGCAUGGCACAAUCAAAUGAGCAGUUCUUAAAGCCGGAUAGAAUGCACCAUGAUGGAGGAGUACCCCCUGGAUGGGGGUGAAGGAGUGUCUCACUACACAUACCCCUUAAAAGGUUUGUGUUUAUGUGACAUUAUUGACACGAACUGUGACCAUAUAGACCAUUGUUGCAACCAAGGUCAUAUAGUGGCACCAAAUCUUGUACAGGGGAGGUCAA